rnacentral:rRNA from 1 species
CGUGUAGGCGGUGCGGUAAGUUGGGCGUGAAAUCCCCGAGCUUAACUCGGGUGGGCCGUUCAAGACUGCCGUGCUAGGGUGCGGGAGAGGGAAGUGGAAUUUCCGGUGUAGCGGUGAAAUGCGUAGAUAUCGGGAGGAACACCUGCGGCGAAGGCGGCUUCCUGGACCGUAACCGACGCUGAGGCGCGAAAGCUAGGGGAGCAAACAGGAUUAGAUACCCUGGUAGUCCUAGCCCUAAACGAUGAGCACUGGGUGUGGCCCCUCACGAGGCCGUGCCGAAGCUAACGCAUUAAGUGCUCCGCCUGGGGAGUACGGGUCGCAAGGCUGAA